rnacentral:rRNA from 1 species
AAAUUGAAGAGUUUGAUCAUGGCUCAGAUUGAACGCUGGCGGCAGGCCUAACACAUGCAAGUCGAACGGUAACAGGAAACAGCUUGCUGUUUCGCUGACGAGUGGCGGACGGGUGAGUAAUGUCUGGGAAACUGCCUGAUGGAGGGGGAUAACUACUGGAAACGGUAGCUAAUACCGCAUAACGUCG